rnacentral:rRNA from 1 species
AUUGAACGCUGGCGGCAGGCCUAACACAUGCAAGUCGAGCGAGCGGCGGAGGGGUGAGUAAUGUAUGGGGAUGUGCCCUAUAGGGGGGGAUAACUACUAGAAGCGGUCGAUAAUCCCGUAUACUAUCGGAUGAACCCAUAUGGGAUUAGCUAGUAGGUGGGGUAAAGGCUCACCUAGGCGACGAUCUCUAGCUGGUCUGAGAGGAUGAUCAGCCACACUGGGACUGAGACACGGUCCAGACUCCUACGGGAGGCAGCAGUGGGGAAUAUUGCACAAUGGGCGCAAGCCUGAUGCAGCCAUGCCGCGUGUACGAAGAAGGCCUUAGGGUUGUAAAGUACUUUCAGCGGGGAGGCGUUACCCGCAGAAGAAGCACCGGCUAACUCCGUGCCAGCAGCCGCGGUAAUUC